AUUAAAACCUUUAAAAAAACAAACAAACAAACAAAAAACAAAGAUAGCUAACAUUAGUCUUAUUAUUGAAUAAACCUGAGGCCAAGUUUGCUAGCAAGUGUUAGCCCUUACACUCCCAGACUGGUGGCUUUAUGGAGACCUGACUAGUAUGCAGAAAGUGGCUUUAAAAAUUUUUGCACGUAGUAUACAUUUACAUUUCCCCUGGCUACAAAUAGCUUCUGGCUAAAAUCAAUACAAUAGUUAUGGGGGGUAAAACGUCAUUUGCCAGAUCAACAUGUACUUUGUCUUCCAGUAAGAUAACACAUGCACACAAAUACUUUUCAGAGAAUAAUCAACAAGUCCCAUCCUAGCUGUGUCACGAAUCAAGCCUCGGUGGUUCCUCCCACUUAUCACCAGAGGGCACCAUCACCUGAGUAUUGACUUUUCCUAUGGACUCCAUUUCCCAUAACCACACAUCCAGAACUGACUACCACCACACCUGUUUCUCAUUGGACUCUCCAUUUAAGACACACUCUCAUACACACUCUCUGCGAAGUCUUGUUUUGCCCUUGCUAACAUUACUGAGUGUUUACUGUUUGUUUGCUCUGCCUGUGUUUGACCCUUGGACUGUUUAUUCGGUUCAGUGAUCCUUCGCUGCCUGCUCUGACCUUUUGCCUGUUUGCUGACUACAAUCUUGGAAUUACCUUUGAUGCUCUGUUUGCCAGUCAUUGACCUCAACCUGUUUGUAUACAUUUGUCAUGUUGUUUAAUAAAGCCGCAUAAGGAUCCUCACUCCAUGGACCCUUCAUUACAGAAGACUUCACCAGACUCCAAUCCAGCGGAGAGAAACCGUUGCAGAGUAAGCUCUGACUUUUCGCACACUCGCAGCUCAGACUGGGUGAAGUGAGGAUACCCUCAAGCUACUAUUCUGCAGUGGAUUACAUCUGGAGCUUUAGGCAGAGCUGGCGUGCCAUGAUGAAAGUAAAACUUUGGAUCAGUUUAUCGAAAUAGCCAUCCGCAUUGAUAACCUAAUCAGGGCAUGAAGACCAACCAGCACAGAAAUUCCCAGGCCGAUGGCUGCUUUCAACGCUAACAACCCUGAGCCCAUGCAGAUCAGACAUGCUCACCUUACCCCGGAAGAGAGAGACCGUUGCCUAAGACAGCAUCUUUGACUGUACUGUGGUCAACCUGGUCAUCCGAGGAUCAGCCCGGUUUGACACCAAUGAUGCUCCACUACAGUGAAUACAUUUAGUACCCUCAUGCGCUCUACCUCAUGUCUUUAACUGCCAGUCAUUUUUGAGUUAUCCAUUAUGCCACAUUACGCCAUUAUGCCAGGGCUUUAUCAGACCUUCAACCUCACCAGCAUCAGCCGAGUUCUUCUUUGUGAACAAAAAAGACGAAGGACUCCGCCCAUGUAUCAAUUACCACGGUCUAAAUAAAA
ensembl:lncRNA